rnacentral:ncRNA from 2 species
UACGUAGGGUGCAAGCGUUAAUCGGAAUUACUGGGCGUAAAGCGUGCGCAGGCGGUUUCGUAAGACAGAUGUGAAAUCCCCGGGCUUAACCUGGGAACUGCAUUUGUGACUGCGAGGCUAGAGUGUGUCAGAGGGAGGUGGAAUUCCGCGUGUAGCAGUGAAAUGCGUAGAGAUGCGGAGGAACACCGAUGGCGAAGGCAGCCUCCUGGGAUAACACUGACGCUCAUGCACGAAAGCGUGGGGAGCAAACAGG